rnacentral:rRNA from 1 species
AGAGUUUGAUCCUGGCUCAGGAUGAACGCUAGCGGCAGGCCUAACACAUGCAAGUCGAGGGGUAAUCCCGCCUUCGGGCGGGAACGACCGGCGAACGGGUGCGUAACGCGUAUGCAAUCUGCCCACUGCUGGGGGAUAGCCCGAAGAAAUUUGGAUUAACCCCCCAUGGUACGGCGACUCCGCAUGGAGUUGUCGUUAAAGUUUACGGCAGUGGAUGAGCAUGCGUCCCAUUAGCUAGUUGGUGAGGUAACGGCUCACCAAGGCUGCGAUGGGUAGGGGUCCUGAGAGGGAGAUCCCCCACACUGGUACUGAGACACGGACCAGACUCCUACGGGAGGCAGCAGUGAGGAAUAUUGGACAAUGGGGGCAACCCUGAUCCAGCCAUGCCGCGUGCAGGAAGACGGCCCUACGGGUUGUAAACUGCUUUUGUACGGGAAGAACUCCCCGCUCGUGAGCGGGGCUGACGGUACCGUAAGAAUAAGCACCGGCUAACUCCGUGCCAGCAGCCGCGGUAAUACGGAGGGUGCAAGCGUUAUCCGGAAUCAUUGGGUUUAAAGGGUCCGCAGGCUGGGCGGUAAGUCAGUGGUGAAAUGCAGGGGCUCAACCCCGGCACUGCCAUUGAUACUGCCGUUCUUGAAUCGUCGUGAAGUGG